rnacentral:rRNA from 1 species
UACGAAGGGGGCUAGCGUUGCUCGGAAUUACUGGGCGUAAAGCGCACGUAGGCGGCUUUCUAAGUCGGGGGUGAAAUCCUGGAGCUCAACUCCAGAACUGCCUUCGAUACUGGGAGUCUCGAGUCCGGGAGAGGUGAGUGGAACUGCGAGUGUAGAGGUGAAAUUCGUAGAUAUUCGCAAGAACACCAGUGGCGAAGGCGGCUCACUGGCCCGGUACUGACGCUGAGGUGCGAAAGCGUGGGGAGCAAACAGG